rnacentral:rRNA from 1 species
UCCUCACCAGGUUGAUUCUGCCUGACGUAGAUGCUAGUCUCUAAGAUUAAGCCAUGCAUGUUUCCGCAAUCAGGGACGAAUAGCUCAGUAAAACUGCGAUGAUUUAGUCUGGCUGUGUAGAUAACUACGUGAAAAUGUAGCUAAGGGAAGGCAGAAUAAGACGCAGGACUAUCAGUUAGUUGGUAGUGUAAUGGACUACCAAGACAGUGACGGUUGACGGGAAAUCAGGGUUUGGUUCCGGAGAGGA